UUACGUGCGCUGACCGGUCGACGUCGCGUUAUGAAUGUUAUGAUGUCAUCAAGAAUACACACGUUAAUACCGCGCGUUGUUCGUGCCGGCUGUCUGAUGGCUGCCAUCUACAAUAACAUUUGCGGCCACGCAAAAUAGUUCCGUUGUACUCUCUUAACAUAUUUAGUUUUAUUUUAAAGAAAGCGAACCAAACUGUGGUCGGUAUGGAUACGAAGUCGUUCUCCUCGACAAUAGCAAAGUUCUCAGUCAAGUUUUGCAAUGAGCUAAACGGUGAUAAAGAUGUGGUCUCGUCACCGUUGUCAGCGGAAUACUUAUUGGCGCUGAUAGCUUUGGGUUCAACGGACACCGCACACGAAGAGCUCUUAACAAGCCUCGAUUUUCCAGAUGACAACACGAUACGCACGCUUUUCACUGCGGCCUCUGCUAAAUUGAAAACUAUUAAGGGUAUUAAUUUAAGUUUAGCAAACAAGAUAUACGUUAAAUCGUGCGAUUAUGAACUCAAUUCGCAACUGAAGAAAGACGCCGUGGACGUGUUUGAUGCGGAAUUGGAGAAAGUCGAUUUCGGAGACAGCGCUGCUGCUGCUAAACUGAUCAACGGCUGGGUCGAAAGUAAAACAAAUGAACGAAUUAAAAAUCUGGUUUCCAAUAGCAGCCUCAAUUCUGACACGCAAGUCGUUCUGAUCAACGCUCUCUACUUUAAGGGUUCAUGGAAAAACCAAUUUAACCCUAAGAGCACCGUGGAGCAUCCGUUCUAUAUUAACAACGAAACAUCUGUGAAAAUUCCCAUGAUGUACCAAGAAGACAAAUUUAAGUACGACAACAACACUGAGCUCAACGCCCAGAUCUUAGAAAUGGCGUAUGAAGGUAACGAGGCCAGCAUGGUAAUUGUAUUACCGAACGAAAUUGAUGGCCUUGAUCAAGUCCUACGGAAACUAGCCGACGGCUUCGAUCUCAUCGCAGUAUGGGAGAAGCUGAUCUCAACAAAACUACAAGUCAUAAUACCCAAAUUCAAGACUGAAACUGAAAUAGACCUUACGCAUGUUUUCUCAAAGUUGGGCAUUAAUGCGAUCUUCCGUCGCGAAAAUUCUGGUGUGUCGAAGAUCUUGGAUAACAACGAGUCGUUGUAUAUCUCGAAGGCCAUACAAAAAGCCUUCAUUGAAGUGAAUGAAGAAGGAGCCGAAGCGGCUGCUGCCACUCAUAUGGUGUUAAGAAAGCGGCGUGCUCAUUAUCCCGCUCCGAUCGUCCGGGCUGAUCGACCUUUUCUUUAUUUCCUCAUUGGGCCUGAUCACACGAUGCUGUUCGUCGGUCUGUACCAAGGACGUACAUAACUCAGCCUUAUAUUUGGAUGAGCAUCUGUUCCCCGUCCAUUACUUCCGCUUUUAAAGGUAUCCCAGUGUCUUGUCCUUCUACAUAAUAAGAGGUGGUAAUAAUACUUCUGGAGUAUUUAUUUGGUAUUUAUCCUGUUUGAGUAUUGAUACUGCGACCGCUUGUAAAAAAUUAGAAUUAGCCUGUUGACAACAGAGUGAUGAGUAUGAAAAGAAAUUUGUAUUAAAUAAUAGAAAUAUGUGUUUAAUUUAUUAUUUUAUUUAGAAAUAAAAGUUUUCUGUUUGCUGUAAAUAUCCUAUUAUAUCAUAAUAUAUGCUACAUUCGUGAAAAAAUAGACAAUAUUUCAUUUAUAUUAGUUUGUACAUUGAAGAUAUUCACGAACCCUAUUCACGGGUUUUUUGUUUGAAAAUUUUGUUUUUAAAAAUCUUUUACAACACCUUUAACUUCAACGACAAUAAAAAUAUACACAACGAAAUCAAAGAAGCUUGUAUUUCAGAGAAUCUCAAAGUUUUGCAAUAUUCAAUGUAUUCUUAAACAAAAACAAGUCUGCUGGACUUGUGUUUAACACUAACUUAAAUUAAUAAAUGUAAUCAAAAUUAAUAAAAAAAAUAAUAUGUUAGUACUUAAAAGUUACGUUAUUAAGAGAUCCAUUAUCGACAUUAAAUAAAUGUUUUUUCUUUAA